CUUGUGUUGUUAGUUUCCAAGCUCUAAGACUGCAGGUAAGCUACCCACUCCUCUGGUGGCAAGCUUUAUGCAUUACAUCAUCUUGAACAUUUCUCCCCACUCAACCUUCACGUGGUGACUCCAUAGUUUCCAGUGAGACCCUUCAGCAGGCUUUGAUUCCCAUGCCUUGGGUCCUGCUGCCACCAUUCUUUCUCCUCCAGUUCGGAGACACAGCUCUAAGCUCUGUAAAGGAUGUUUGUAUUUCCCUAUUUCUACAUCGGAACCCACCCUCAGGUGAUGGUAUUAGGACACAGAGCUGUUGACAGGUUCUUAGGUCGUGAGGAUGGAGCCCUUAUAAACAGGAUUAGUGCCGUCCCUUCCAUGGCUGACUGUGAAAUCAGCAAAGAAAGCCGCUGAAACUGAGCCACAGUUUCCAAGGUCUCUUCCAACACUGGGACUCUGGGAAAGGAGGAACCAUCGAGAGCUACAUCUGCACUUGUUCUUAAAGCGGUCAACACAGAGGCACAGGUCCUUCCAGGAAGGGCAGCAUCCAUUUUCUCCCCAUCUUCCACACCAAAGGGACUCUGAGUGCCGUGGAUGGAGUCCUUGCUCACUUCCUU
rnacentral:lncRNA from 1 species